GCCGGUGUGAUGGAAUUGGCAGACGUGACGGACUCAAAAUCCGUUGGUAGCGAUACCGUGUGGGUUCGAGUCCCACCACCGGCACCA
rnacentral:tRNA from 3 species